CCAUAAAGAGUUUCACUGACCAACUGAAUUAGAGCAACUUCUGUGGAUUGUUGGAAGCAAAAGCAUAAAAGCCAUAGUAUAAAGAAUGAAUGGUAGGUAUAGAGAAAAAGAUAGUAGGAGUAGAUAAGUUGUGUAUAAGCUUACAUAUGAAAAUAUGUAGUAAAAUGAGAAGAAAUCAAUGACAAAAAUGAGAUCUUGGUGGAAGAAGAAAAAACAGUGAGGAGGACAGAGAAGGAUCUACCAGAUUCAGAUUGAAAAUGUGAGAGGAGUUGCACAGUAGAAGGCAAAUUGUGAGAAUUUAAAAAAAUAAGUUAUAAGAUUUAUUUCAGAUAGUUGCAAUAUUUUUUACUUAUGAUUUCUAUUUCUCUAUUGAUAACUUUCAUAUUUCUACUCAAGAAUGUUUGCCUUUAUCUGAUGGAACAUACUUAUAAUAGAUGCUUUAAAGUCUUUGAUAAUUCUAACAUCUGGAUCAUCUCAAGAUUGGCACUUAUUGAUAAUCUUUCCCUUUGGAAUUUGUCACAAUUUUUGAGUACUUUGUAAAUUGAAUACUUUUGUAUUGCAACCUAGACAUUUUAAAUAUGUUGUUUACAUUCUAGGUUCUAUUAAAAUCCUCAGGAAAAUAUACUUUUUUUUUUUUUUUUUUGGUGGUUGUGGUGGUUUGCUUGGCAUUCACCAAGUUAGGUUCAGAUUGCAAUUUCUGUCUCACUUUAUGGAAAUGAUUGUUCCAAUGUCAGUUCAAUUAGCGAAGCCUUUGAUAUGCCAUUUGGGGUCCACUGUGAGCAUGUACCACUCAGAGGUUAGUGUAAGACCUAGGUGAUAUUUUAAAAUUGAGGUUCCACUAUCAAAACUUUUGCUGUGCACUUUUGGAUCUAUCCUGCACAAGUACACUUCGAGAGUAAACCCAGAAGCUAAACUUGUUUAUUCGCAGAAUUAGGGGACUCCUUUCUCCAAAUCUCUCAUCUCCAGGAUUUCCCCCACACUUUUCAGUUGGAAGGGACCUCUUUCCCUGAUCUUCAGGCCAAAAAUAUGGAAUUUAACUUGGGGCUAAAUUCCUUGCUGCCUUUGCAUACUGAAUAACUCCAAUGAUUGUGGCCAUCUCAGGCAAGAACAAAGACAGAAAAUGGGACUCAUCCUAAUACUCUCCUGAUUGAAGAGUCCCCUAUAACCUAUUCAUCAAGCCAGAAGGAUAUGGUUUCUAUUGGAGUGUAAGCUUUAUAGCACUGCCCACAAUAUGGACACCACUGGAAGUAUCAUUUCCACUCUUAUCAAGCCAUGAGAGAAAAAAAUAAAGGAUGAUUCCCCUCAUGUUCUCUUGCUCAUAGAGGCCUAUAUCUUAGCCUUCUAGAGAUAAAGACAGAAUUAUCUCAACAUGUUAGAUGCCCAUAGUGAUGUUGUGUCAGGUUCACUGGAAGCCUGUCUUGGCUCAAGUCCAUGAUAGAAAAAAGAGAAAAUAAAAGGGAAAUUAACUUACAUAUAAAUCAUUUUUAAAUGCCUUGACAUCCUUCCCCAAUGUACCUGCUUUUGUUUAUUUUUCAGAGUCCUCAAGUAGUUGCUUUUUGUACUUUGAAUAAAGACUUUAGUCAUAGUAGGAGAGAUAGACUGUAAUGGACUUACUUCACGAUGGCUGCACCAGAGGUUCCAAGAACGAUGGCUUUCAACUUCAACCCACAUCUAAAACACACCACUGUAGCCACACCCUACACCCUGUGGUUAUCCAGUUGUGAGUCCUAUUGGAGAGAUGAGGUGUAUGACAGUUUCCUGGAGGGGGUCAUAUGGAUCUACUACUACCUUCCCACUGACAUUAGGCAGAUGUUCAUUAGAUUGGUUUGAUAGAUGUAAUGGUUAAUAUUGAGUGUCAACUUGAUUGGAUUGAAGGAUGCAAAGUAUUGUUCCUGGGUGCGUCUGUGAGGGUGUUGCCAAAGGAGAUUAACAUUUGAAUCAUUGGACUGGGAGAGGCAGACCCACCCUCAAUCUGGGUGGGCACAAUCUAAUCAGCUGCCAGCAUGGCCAGCAUAAAAGCAGGCAGAAGAAUGUGGAAGGAGUAGACUGGCUCAGUCUCCUGGCCUACAUCUUUCUCCCACGCUGCAUGCUUCCUGCCCUCGAACAUUGGACUCCAAGUUCUUCAGUUUUGGGACUCUUGAACCUUUGACCACAGACUGAAGGCUACACUGUUGACUUCCCUACUUUUGAGCUUUUAGGACUCGGACUGGCUUCCUUGUUCCUCAGCUUGCAGACGGCCUAUUGUGGGACCUCACUUUGUGAUCAUGUGAGUCAAUACUCCUUAAUAAACUCUCCUUUAAAUAUACAUCUAUCUUGUUAGUUCUGUCCCUCUAGAGAACCUUGACUAAUACGAUAGGGAAGCCAUAGUGACUGUCACUAAUAUUCUAAUAAAAGAAUUAUUAUCUAUGCCAACUCUGGAGAGCCACAGGUAAGCUAUACAUAGAUCAAAGUGUAAACCAGGGGUUCUCUGAGUGUGAUUCCUGGACCAGCAGUAUGUGGUGACAUUUGAAAUGCAAAUUCUUGGGCCCCACCUCAGACCACUGAAUUAGAAACUCCAGAGGUGGAGCUCAGCAGUUUGUUUUAACUAGUUCUCCAGGUGAUGCUGAGGCACAUCACAGUUGGAAAUGGUGAGGUAAGUAAGGAAUUUCAGCAGUUCAACUGCUGAAAUGUAGAUCUUAACAAAGUGCUAAAUGAAUAGAGGAAAAAGGGAUAAUUAUCUGAGACAUUUGGAUCUUGUUUCACGAAUAGGAGUUCAGAUGAAGUUAGGGAGGUCUUUUGAAGUAUAGGAAACAAGACAUGCAAAGACUGGGGAGGUUAGGAAGACCAGACCUAUUUCAAGAUAUACAAUGGCCUAGUGGGGCUUGAGGUAGCAGGGUGCAUUCUUUUUCUUAGAUAUGCUUCCUCCUCUCUGCUCCAUGGUGCCACACAUGAUGCUGGUGAUAAAGGAGACUGAGCGAGGGUAAAGAUUCACAGUGCCAGCAAGGGCUUGGACAUUGGCAGCCUAUGGAUCAAAUUGUGCUUGCAGAUGGGCUGUAUUUGGUAUUUUAUUGUACAAACACUAUGUAUUUGGCAUAGCAUUAUACAAAUAAAUGUGAACUAACAUUUAAUAAUCAGUUUGGAUGUAUAUAUGUGUAUAUAUAUUAUGUAUAAAUAACAUAUAUGCUAACACAAAAAUAUAUGUGCUAUAUUUAUAUUCUAUACAAAUAACAUAUAAAUAUAUGUUAACAUAUAAAAAUAUAUG
rnacentral:lncRNA from 10 species